AGAAACGGCUGGACGGAGGGAUCGCCUGCCUUACAAGCAGGAUGUCGGCGGUUCGAAACCGUCCGCGCCCA
rnacentral:tRNA from 1 species